rnacentral:tRNA from 1 species
GCCCAGAUAGCUCAGUCGGUAGAGCAGCGGACUGAAAAUCCGCGUGUCGCUGGUUCGAUUCCGGUUCUGGGCACCA